rnacentral:rRNA from 1 species
UGGGGAAUAUUGCACAAUGGGCGCAAGCCUGAUGCAGCCAUGCCGCGUGUGUGAAGAAGGUCUUCGGGUUGUAAAGCACUUUCAGCGGGGAGGAAGGCGGUGAGGUUAAUAACCUCAUCGAUUGACGUUACCGACAGAAGAAGCACCGGCUAACUCCGUGCCAGCAGCCGCGGUAAUACGGAGGGUGCAAGCGUUAAUCGGAAUUACUGGGCGUAAAGCGCACGCAGGCGGUUGAUUGAGUCAGAUGUGAAAUCCCCGGGCUUAACCCGGGAAUUGCAUCUGAUACUGGUCAGCUAGAGUCUUGUAGAGGGGGGUAGAAUUCCAUGUGUAGCGGUGAAAUGCGUAGAGAUGUGGAGGAAUACCGGUGGCGAAGGCGGCCCCCUGGACAAAGACUGACGCUCAGGUGCGAAAGCGUGGGGAGCAAACAGG